UGCAGGUGGCCAGCCGUCUGUCUCUCUACAUUCUCUGUGGUUGUGUACAUGAUUGCCCUGCUGGCCCUGGUGGCCCUGCUGGUGAACUGUGGACCUGCUGCAAGGAGCGGGAAGUCAAUUUCAAGGAGUUUGAGGACAAUUUUGAGGAUGAGUUGACUUCACCCCUCCAGCUGAAGACACCCCUCCAUGCAGUCCCCUGCUGAGGUGUACACCCUGGCAGUGCCCCCCGUGGCCUUGCCCGGCCCCCACCUGGAGACACCCCCCCCGCAUCUCAGUGGGAUCCACUGGCUCUCAGGUGGUCCGUCACAGUCUCAGCUACAUCCAGGAGAUUGGGAACGGCUGGUUUGGCAAGGUCCUCCUCAGUGAGAUCUACACAGAUCCGGGUGGGGCCAAGGCGGUGGUCAAGGAGCUGAAGGCUAACGCAAGUGCUAUGGAGCAGAAUGACUUCCUGCAGCACGGAGACCCUUACAGAGUUCUGGUGCACCCUAACAUCCUGCAGUGUCUGGGCCAGUGUGUGGAGGCUAUCCCCUUCCUGCUGGUCUUUGAGUACUGCGAGCUGGUGAGUGUCCUCGUUUACUAUCAUUUAUGAUCGUAUGAGUCAAUAUACACUACCUAUU